rnacentral:precursor_RNA from 14 species
AGAAGUGUUGGAGAGAUGAGGGGUUAAGAGUUCAUUCGGCUGUCCAGAUGUAUCCAAGUACCCUGUUAUUUGGCAAUAAAUACAUCUGGGCAACUGAUUGAACUUUUCGCUUCUCUUGACUCAACUGGAGCACC